UAGCGGCAGGCCUAAUACAUGCAAGUCGAACGGUAGAUUACUUUCGGGUAAUUGAGAGUGGCGCACGGGUGCGUAACGCGUAUGCAACCUACCCUAUACAGGGGGAUAGCCCGGAGAAAUCUGGAUUAAUACCCCAUGGCACUAUGUUGAGGCAUUUCGAUAUAGUUAAAGAUUUAUCGGUAUAGGAUGGGCAUGCGUCUGAUUAGCUAGUUGGCGGUGUAACGGACCACCAAGGCGACGAUCAGUAGGGGUUCUGAGAGGAAGGUCCCCCACACUGGCACUGAGAUACGGGCCAGACUCCUACGGGAGGCAGCAGUAGGGAAUAUUGGGCAAUGGACGAGAGUCUGACCCAGCCAUGCCGCGUGCAGGAAGACGGCGUUCUGCGUUGUAAACUGCUUUUAUCUGGGAAGAAAAGGCCCAUGCGUGGGACAUUGCCGGUACCAGAUGAAUAAGCACCGGCUAACUCCGUGCCAGCAGCCGCGGUAAUAC
rnacentral:rRNA from 1 species